rnacentral:misc_RNA from 1 species
CGGGAAGAAGAGAAGGUUAAAGGACAAAGAGGAAAAGAUCGAUUCUGUCAAAUGCUACUUUGUUCGAAUGGAAUCUCUUAAUCCUUAUGAAAAUGAAACUUACAUUUUGCAUGACAAGAUGGUUCAUGAAGCAAGGUGCAAUUUCAUGCAUGUACACAUGGUCUCUAGCAUGGCUAAAUACAUGGCCAGGUUUAUUAUUUCCCAGAUUCUUUUAACUUUUUAAUAUUUAUUGCAUAUUUGCUGUCUUUCUUUCUG